rnacentral:rRNA from 1 species
GAUGAACGCUGGCGGCGUGCUUAACACAUGCAAGUCGAACGAAGCAUUCAUAUGGAAGUUUUCGGAUGGAAAUAUGAAUGACUUAGUGGCGGACGGGUGAGUAACGCGUGGGUAACCUGCCUCAUACAGGGGGAUAACAGCCAGAAAUGGCCGCUAACACCGCAUAAGCGCACAGUACCGCAUGGUACGGUGUGAAAAACAUCAGUGGUAUGAGAUGGACCCGCGUCUGAUUAGCUAGUUGGUAAGGUAGAGGCUUACCAAGGCGACGAUCAGUAGCCGGCCUGAGAGGGUGAACGGCCACAUUGGGACUGAGACACGGCCCAGACUCCUACGGGAGGCAGCAGUGGGGAAUAUUGCACAAUGGGCGAAAGCCUGAUGCAGCGACGCCGCGUGAGCGAAGAAGUAUUUCGGUAUGUAAAGCUCUAUCAGCAAGGAAGAUAAUGACGGUACUUGACUAAGAAGCCCCGGCUAACUACGUGCCAGCAGCCGCGGUAAUACGUAGGGGGCAAGCGUUAUCCGGAUUUACUGGGUGUAAAGGGAGUGUAGGCGGCGAUGCAAGUCAGAAGUGAAGACCCGGGGCUCAACCCCGGGACUGCUUUUGAAACUGUGUUGCUAGAGUGCAGGAGAGGUAAGUGGAAUUCCUAGUGUAGCGGUGAAAUGCGUAGAUAUUAGGAGGAACACCAGUGGCGAAGGCGGCUUACUGGACUGUAACUGACGCUGAGGCUCGAAAGCGUGGGGAGCAAACAGGAUUAGAUACCCUGGUAGUCCACGCUGUAAACGAUGAGUGCUAAGUGUUGGGGGUCGAACCUCAGUGCUGAAGUUAACGCAUUAAGCACUCCGCCUGGGGAGUACGGUCGCAAGACUG